GACGAACCGUGCGAACGUUGUUCGGAAUCACUGGGCUUAAAGGGCGCGUAGGCGGGCCGGCAAGUCAGGGGUGAAAUCUUCCAGCUCAACUGGAAAAAGGGCCUUUGAUACUGUCGGCCUCGAGGGAGGUAGGGGCAUGCGGAACUUCCGGUGGAGCGGUGAAAUGCGUAGAUAUGUGGAGGAACACCUGUGGCGAAGGCGCCUUGCUGGCCAAUUUCUGACGCUGAGGCGCGAAAGCGUGGGGAGCAAACAGG
rnacentral:rRNA from 1 species